UUUUGAUUAUAAUUUAAAGUCUAAUCUGCUCAAUGAGGAGUUAAAUUGCCGCGGUAUUUUGACCGUGCAAAGGUAGCAUAAUAAUUAGUUUUUKGAUUGGAAGCUAGAAYGAAUGAUUGGACSAGAAGAAUUCUGUCUCUUUUUAAUUUUUAAUUGAAUUUAAUUUUUAAGUAAAAAAGCUUAAAUGAUUUUUAAAGACGAGAAGACCCUAUMSAGUUUUAUAAUUAAAUUUAAAUAAGGUUUUGGGAAUUUUUACUUGUUUUUUUUUUAUUAUUUAAYUGGGGUGAUUKGAAGAUUUAUAUAACUCUUUAGUUUUAAAUCAAUGAUUUUUGAAUUUAUUAUCCAUCUUUUUGAAUAUAAUAUAAWUUACCUUAGGGAUAACAGCGUAAUAUUCUUUUAGAGUUCAUAUUGGUGAGAAUGAUUGCSACCUCGAUGUUGGAUUAAAAAUAGCUUUUGG
rnacentral:rRNA from 1 species